rnacentral:rRNA from 1 species
UUCGCCUUCAUGAAGCUGGAAUGCAGUAAUGGCAGGUCAGCAUACUGCCGUGAAUACGUUCCCGGGCCUUGUACACACCGCCCGUCACACCAUGAGAGUUGGGAAUACCCGAAGCCUGUGAGCUAACUUAUAGAGGCAGCAGUCGAAGGUAGAAUCAAUGAUUGGGGUGAAGUCGUAACAAGGUACC